rnacentral:lncRNA from 1 species
AAAAAUAAAAAAAUGUAGCCAAAAUUAAAAGAAAUAAAAAAUUGAUUUAAACAUGCUCCUAAAAAUCAAGGGACUAAAUGCGUAAAUUAACCAUUUGGCCAGAACGCACAGAUCCUCCCCUCCGGGUCGGGUCACCGCGUGAGUCAAGCCUGGGUAAAACUGCGCCGUUUUGCUCUGUUAUUUAAAAUAAAUUUUUCCUUUCAAAAUCAUUUACAACAGAAAGAAAGAAAAAAAAAAUAAAUGCCCUCUUUUGCUCUGCUAGGGUUUCUUCAACCCUUUUCUUUGCGCUGCCGUCGUUCAAGAACACCCCCCUCCCCCACAGCUUUAAUCGCC